UUUUCAAUUCUAAUCUAUGUUUAAACUCUUGUCGACCUUUUAGCUUGAUAAUAUGCUAUGUCAACUGUAUGUAUCUAUGUGAAAACACAAAAUUAUACAUACAAACUCAACAUUCUCCAAGGUGUUAUGUUUUGUGACUUGUGAGUGUAGAUGAUAGCUUGUUUACAUGUGCUUGAAGUUGAGUGUAUGAGUUUGGUUGAACUACCUCCAAUUACAUAAUAUACAUUAGUUUCUGCCCCUUCAUAAAGCUUUAGUGUUUUUGGGUGUGUGGUUCAUAACUAGGUUUUCUGACUGUUUAUAUCAUUGACUACUAGAUUCUUGGUUUCUAUCGAAUUUGAUAAUGAGUGCUGUUAUCACCAUCUUGGAAGUUGUGAAGGAGACAUUAUGUUGAUGUAAAGAUAACAUAUGAGAUACAUUGACUGAUCAAUUUUAGACUUUUAGUGUCAUAUAGUGUAUCAUUUUUAGAGACUUGGAAGUGGUGGAAAGCUUGUGAACGUGGAGUUGAGCUUAGGCUUCUAGCUUAAACUUUUUACCAGUGUUCUUUGUUGUCCUGUGUUCUAUAAGUUUUGUUGUUACAAUCGGAUAAUAUCUUAAGAUUAUUGUUGGAGCCAAGAAGAUUGAUCUUUCUAAAAAUUUGGUUAUUUUGCUCUUAAUGUAUGUUUUUUUUAUGCUGUGUCAUGUGUGUCUGUGUUUUCCCCUCUUUUUAUUUGUAGGUCGUGUAAGUACACGUUUACCAUGAUUCUUUUUAGGCUUUGCUUCUUUACUUUGCCCCUUCAUUGGGUGCCUUUGUCACAAUCAUGCCCUUGUCCAGCCACUGUCGCCAAUUGCUCCUUUAGCUAGUAGCAUCUCGCACACACAAGGGGGAUAACUUUGGGCUGAAAGUUAUUAGUGCAAGAAUAGUACCAGAACAUCAAAGAAGUUGUCAGCAACAUUGCCCAAGUCUCCACCUCUAGACAAUUCUUCUUUUGUGUUUCUUUCCCUCAAGUCUGCAAGCAUGGGUAUGAGCCACCUCCAGACUCAACGUGUCUAGGUUUUAAUCGUUUCCCUUAGGACAAGGCUGUUUCGACAUUGGGAUUAUUAAUAUCCAAUUAUCCAUCAGAGAAAGUGUGCAGAUGGAUUUUGUAGGGGGAAGUUGUUGUGGGUAGUUAUUAGAAUAGUGGGUUGAGUUAGUUAUGCUAUUAUGUGUAGUUAUUAUUUAUACCACUUGGAUUAGAGAAGGUGGUUAUCUAUGUUAUGAAUUGAACGUGUAAUCCAGAAAGUGCCGUGGAAGACUAAGUUAAUGAAUCUCCCUUGUAGUUCGACAGUACAUUCAUGAAUGCAUGAUGCGUAUGACUUCCGUUUCCAUAAA